GUACUCCCUGUGGAUUCAUCCACAGCGCUGCAGACAGAGACACACAGGACGCUGGGAGGAUCCAGAAGGGAACCAACAACAGGACAGGUUAUGUGUACAGACUGGAUUGUCGUCAUUAUCAUUUCUAGGGAGGUUAAUUUUCAGGCCACAUGGAAAUUUAAUAGCAUUACUCAGUCAUUUAGAUAACUGAUAUUACUGAUGCCUAUCCUAAGUGACUCAUAUGUUUUUACAGUGGGUGUUUUUCAGUCCACCGUGUCUGAGACUAAAUAUAAAGCAGUAAAAAGAAACAAAAAAAAAAAGAUGAAAGAACAACCAGUACCUGGGGGAUCUUGUGAGGACAGUUGGGUUGUGUCCCACUUUUUUCUGCUGCUUUGUGUUGUGUGCUCUUCUCCAGUUACACCGAUGGAAAAAGCAGAUUGUUGGGGGGGCUUGACAGGACUUCAUUGUGCUCCCGGUGGCUUCGCUCCAUUGCCCUCUACUGUGCUGCGUAUGGACUGCCUCUAUGCUGGCACAGAGGACAGAUAAAUGAAGACCAGCUAGAACGUGGGAGAUCAUGACGACCACAUGGUGCCAUUUUCCCUGCCCUGUACCUUCAGAAGAGAGAAUCCGUGUUCCAGUGUUUUCCUACUGAGAGAUGACUUCUGCUUUUGCAAAUCAGUGCAAACAGUAUUUCACUUGUUGCUUCGUAGUCAACAUCAGUGUGCUCAGAUUUAGCAGGGAGCUUUUUCAUGGGUGUUGUGCAGAAUAAUUUGCUGCAGUGCGAUUUUUUUUUUGUAAGUAAUAAGCACAUCCUGGCCCGUUCUCUGACUUUAUUUUGCUGGUCAAAAACACUGAUUCUGUAGCCAUUGACCAUCACUCAUGCAUUUUUCCUUUAGCUGCCACGUGCAGUGACCCAUACUCUUUCUAACCCUCUCACGGUUUCUUCCUGUAUAAGAUACUUCACUCAAAGCGAGCAGCGUUUCAGCGAGACUUUUUUGUGUCUUUUCAUAGCUGGAGUUUAUCUAUGCCAGAUUUGUGCAAAGCUCUGAUAUUUGAAAAAAAAGCUGCUAAAGUGUGUGAAAAUGACAAGUUCCCAAUGUGCAAUUCACACAGUAUGUUUUUGUUUGUGCGGAAACCUCUAAAGUGGAUCACACUUGUGUGUGUGUGCGUGUUACGGGGGUGUGUACGUGAGUGCACGUGUUUCUUUGCAUGUACCCUAUACGUAUGUCUGCAUGUGUCUCUUAUCAGUCAGAUGAAAUGUAUUUGUAACGGGCCUUAAGCUAAAAGCUGCUUUACUGUGAUUUUUGUUUUCACAGCUGCUCAAUCAAUAACAGGCCUAUAUUCUUUUAGCCACUGGAUGUACCAGAUAAGGGAUAAAACAACAUUUACAAAUGGUUCUUAGCAUUUGUUACAACCUCACUGAAGUAGCAGUUAUUAUACUGAUUUAGAUCACAAGGAUGCCAUUGGAAAUUAAUGGUCUGUAGUUUUCUAAACGAUGCCCGCUGGCAAUAAUUAAGUUGUCCCGAUGCCUACAGUCCUAUCAUUUCACACUGAAGCCAAUUACAGCAAAUGCUAAUAAUUAUGUGUAAAUAGAUUUUUACCCACAUCUGGGUUGUACUAACAGUAUCUCACUAAUAUCUAACAGUACUAAUAUAUGUGCUAACAGUUGGAGGAUUACUAACCUGUAUUGAGAAUGCUGUUGGCUGGCAUUUCUAACCCUAACUUGACUAACCCUCUGCUUUCUGCCCGCAGUCUGCAGCGCAUAUACUCCCUUUGCAUGAUCUUGCAUCCCUUCUUUUAGAAGUUUAGAUAAAUCGUUAAAGUCGGGAAAAACGUUGCACUGAGCAUGUCGAGAAGGCUUUCGGGACUUGGAAAGGAAAAAAAAGUGAUUAAGCUCAAGGUGAAAAGACAAGCGGGAACAGCUGCUGACA
ensembl:lncRNA